rnacentral:rRNA from 1 species
CACACGACCGUACCGCAAACCGACACUGGUGCGCGAGAUGAGUAUUCUAAGGCGCUUGAGAGAACUCAGGAGAAGGAACUCGGCAAAUUGACACCGUAACUUCGGAAGAAGGUGUGCCUUUAGUAGGUGAAGUCCCUCGCGGAUGGAGCCCAAUGAGGUUGCAAAAAAUCGGUGGCUGCGACUGUUUAUUAAAAACACAGCACUCUGCAAACACGAAAGUGGACGUAUAGGGUGUGACGCCUGCCCGGUGCUGGAAGAUUAAAUGAUGGGGUGCAAGCUCUUGAUUGAAGUCCCAGUAAACGGCGGCCGUAACAAUAACGGUCCUAAGGUAGCGAAAUUCCUUGUCGGGUAAGUUCCGACCUGCACGAAUGGCGUAACGAUGGCCACACUGUCUCCUCCUGAGACUCAGCGAAGUUGAAAUGUUUGUGAUGAUGCAAUCUCCCCGCGGAAAGACGGAAAGACCCCAUGAACCUUUACUGUAGCUUUGUAUUGGACUUUGAACAGAUCUGUGUAGGAUAGGUGGGAGGCUUUGAAGCAGGGUCGCUAGAUCUUGUGGAGCCAACGUUGAAAUACCACCCUGGUGUGUUUGAGGUUCUAACCUAGGCCCGUAAUCCGGGUUGGGGACAGUGCAUGGUAGGCAGUUUGACUGGGGCGGUCUCCUCCCAAAGUGUAACGGAGGAGUUCGAAGGUACGCUAGUUACGGUCGGACAUCGUGACGAUAGUGCAAUGGCAUAAGCGUGCUUAACUGCGAGACUGACAAGUCGAGCAGAUGCGAAAGCAGGACAUAGUGAUCCGGUGGUUCUGUAUGGAAGGGCCAUCGCUCAACGGAUAAAAGGUACUCUGGGGAUAACAGGCUGAUACCGCCCAAGAGUUCAUAUCGACGGCGGUGUUUGGCACCUCGAUGUCGGCUCAUCUCAUCCUGGGGCUGUAGCCGGUCCCAAGGGUAUGGCUGUUCGCCAUUUAAAGAGGUACGUGAGCUGGGUUUAAAACGUCGUGAGACAGUUUGGUCCCUAUCUUCCGUGGGCGCUGCAGAUUUGAGGAAGCCUGCUCCUAGUACGAGAGGACCGGAGUGGACGCACCUCUGGUGUAUCGGUUGUCACGCCAGUGGCAUUGCCGAGUAGCUAUGUGCGGAAGAGAUAACCGCUGAAAGCAUCUAAGCGGGAAACUCGUUUCAAGAUGAGAUCUGCCGGGGCCUUGAGCCCCCUGAAGAGUCGUUCAAGACCAGGACGUUGAUAGGUCGGGUGUGGAAGCGCAGUAAUGCGUUAAGCUAACCGAUACUAAUUGCUCGUGCGGCUUGACCCC